AGGAACAAACUACCAAGACGUUAUCUGUCAUGGACAAACCUCAAAAACAUUAGCUAAGUAAAAAAGCCAGACACGGCUGGGCGCAGUGGUUUACGUCUGUAAUCCUAGCACUUUUGGAAGCCGAAGCGGGCAGAUCACCUGAGGUCAGGUGUUCAAGACCACCCUGGCGAACAUGGUGAAAGCCCAUCUCUACUAAAAUACAAAAAUUAGCUGGGCAUGAUGGCGGGUGCCUGUAAUCCCAGCUACUCGGGAGGCUGAGCCAGGAGAAUCGCUUGAACCACGGAGAUGGUGGAUGCAGUGAGCCGAGGUCACACCACUGCACUGGGCAGCUGAGCGAGAUUCUGUCUAAAAAAAAAAAAAAAAAACCAGACACAAGACCACAUAUUGUAUGAUUUCAUUGAUUCAAAGUGUCCAGAAAAUGCAAAUUUAUAUAGAGAGAAAGUAGAUUGUUGGUUGCCUGGAGCUGGGGUAAGAACAGGAUUAACUGUGAAAGAGCAUGAAGGAUCUUAUCAGGAGGGAUAAAAUUGUUCCAAAACUGAGUAAUAGUUAUGGCUACAUCACUGAGGGAAGUUACUAAAAUCACUGAAUUUUAUACUUGAAAUGGGUGAGUUUUAUGAUAUGUAACACAUGCCUCAUUAAAGUUUUUUGUUUUUGUUUUUGUUUUUUGGUUUGUUUUGUUUUGUUUUAAGUGAGGCAGGAAAAUAGGGUCUGGAGGCAGGGAACAUAAGGCCAAUUCACACUUCAGCUGCGACAGGAAAGAUCCUCUCCAUAGGGCAUAGACCAAGUAAAUGACUUUGUAACUUUACUUCAUCCUCCCAUUUACAUAGGGCUUACCCCAAGUAACCAAUGGGAUCCUCUAGAGGGUAUUUAAACUCCCCAAAAUUCUGUAACUAUGCUUGGGCCCACUCCCACACUGUGGAGUGUACUUUCUUUUUCAGUAAAUCCCUUCCUUCCUUGCUUUGUUUGUGCAUUUUGUCCAAUUCUUUGUUCCAGAUGCCAAGAACCUGGACACCCUCCCCCAAUAACAAAAGGACUCCCGCCUCCCAAACCAUCCAUCAAGCAUUAAACAUUUUUGAAGGCUCACAAUCAACAGGAUAGAAUAAUUACUUAGUGAUGAUUUCCAAAGUGAAAUAUUUUACUGUUUUAUAGUAAGCACAUUUUAGUAUCUGUACACCAGUAAAAUGUUAAGAUUUUAUCUCAUUUUUGUCAUAUUAGCCUAAAAUAUUUAUUAUUUUUAUAUAAAAGAUAGUCAAUAGGAAGGUAGGAUUGGGGAGAAAACUUAGCAAAUGUCACAAAGGAGACUCCUAGUAACAAAAUCUGCGGG
rnacentral:lncRNA from 10 species